ensembl:lncRNA
GUAAUCUCCAGCUGCAGUAUUUUUCCGUUUGCUUCUGAUGAGAAGCCAACUGCCACCACUGAUAGAUUAUCGAAUAGAUAUGUGAAAAACACCUUGAGGUUUGAUUCUGUACAACGUUUGCCAUGUUUCUGACGAUAUUAUGGAGCUAAUUUGGAAAAAAGUUUGGCGUUGUAAGUGACUGCAUUUUCCGGUCUUUUUCUUAGCCAAACGUGAUGAACAAAACGGAGUUAUUUCAUCUACACAAAUAAUCUUUUUGGAAAAUAAUGAACAUUUGCUAUCUAACUAAGAGUCUCGUCAUUGAAAACAUCCGAAGUUCUUCAAAGGACCGGCUCCUGAUGUUCCUACCUGCUUUCUCGGGGUGGAUGGCCCUGAACUGUCGAAUGAGGUCAGGGUCCAGUAUGUCUUUGGCAGGAACCCAGAAGCGCUCCUCGGGACCGUAGCCUUCCCAGUCCACCAGAUACUGCCAGGACCGCUGCACCCAGCGGGAAUCCAGUAUCCAAUGGACGGUAUAAGCCGGCUGGCCUCCGAUGACACGGGGCGGAGGGGGAGAUAAUUUGGCAAUACGUCCAACUGGCCUCACAACUACGUGUAACCACGCCAGCCCAGAAAUUCCACAUCCGGCUUCUUCACCUGCAGGAUCGUCUGACACCAGCCACCCGGAGAGCUGAUGAAACUGAAGAGUAU